rnacentral:rRNA from 1 species
CCUACGGGUGGCUGCAGUGAGGAAUAUUGGUCAAUGGGCGGAAGCCUGAACCAGCCAAGUAGCGUGAAGGAUGACGGCCCUACGGGUUGUAAACUGCUUUUAUACGGGAAUAACGCGCCUUACGUGUAGGGCUUUGCAUGUACCGUAUGAAUAAGGACCGGCUAAUUCCGUGCCAGCAGCCGCGGUAAUACGGAAGGUCCGGGCGUUAUCCGGAUUUAUUGGGUUUAAAGGGGGCGUAGGCCGCAUGUCAAGCGUGCUGUGAAAUGGCCGGGCUCAACCCGGGCCGUGCAGGGCGAACUGGCGUGCUUGAGUUGGCGAAAAGCAGGCGGAAUGCGUGGUGUAGCGGUGAAAUGCUUAGAUAUGGCGAAGAACCCCGAUUGCGAAGGCAGCUUGCUGCAGCCGAACUGACGCUGAUGCUCGAAAGCGCGGGGAUCGAACAGGAUUAGAUACCCGGGUAGUC